GAUGAACGCUGGCGGCGUGCCUAAUACAUGCAAGUCGAGCGAACAGACGAGGAGCUUGCUCCUCUGACGUUAGCGGCGGACGGGUGAGUAACACGUGGAUAACCUACCUAUAAGACUGGGAUAACUUCGGGAAACCGGAGCUAAUACCGGAUAAUAUAUUGAACCGCAUGGUUCAAUAGUGAAAGACGGUUUUGCUGUCACUUAUAGAUGGAUCCGCGCCGCAUUAGCUAGUUGGUAAGGUAACGGGUUACCAAGGCUACGAUGCGUAGCCGACGUGAGAGGGGGGUCGGCCACACUGGAACUGGGACACGGUCCAGACUCCUACGGGAGGGAGCAGUAGGGAAUCUUCCGCAAUGGGCGAAAGUCUGACGGAGCAACGCCGCGUGAGUGAUGAAGGUCUUCGGAUCGUAAAACUCUGUUAUUAGGGAAGAACAAAUGUGUAAGUAACUAUGCACGUCUUGACGGUACCUAAUCAGAAAGCCACGGCUAACUACGUG
rnacentral:rRNA from 1 species